GCAUAACGUCGCAAGACCAAAGAGGGGGACCUUCGGGCCUCUUGCCAUCAGAUGUGCCCAGAUGGGGAUUAGCUAGUAGGUGGGGUAAUGGCUCACCUAGGCGACGAUCCCUAGCUGGUCUGAGAGGAUGACCAGCCACACUGGAACUGAGACACGGUCCAGACUCCUACGGGAGGCAGCAGUGGGGAAUAUUGCACAAUGGGCGCAAGCCUGAUGCAGCCAUGCCGCGUGUGUGAAGAAGGCCUUCGGGUUGUAAAGCACCUUCAGCGAGGAGGAAGGUGGUGAACUUAAUACGUUCAUCAAUUGACGUUACUCGCAGAAGAAGCACCGGCUAACUCCGUGCCAGCAGCCGCGGUAAUACGGAGGGUGCAAGCGUUAAUCGGAAUUACUGGGCGUAAAGCGCACGCAGGCGGUUUGUUAAGUCAGAUGUGAAAUCCCCGGGCUCAACCUGGGAACUGCAUUUGAAACUGGCAAGCUAGAGUCUCGUAGAGGGGGGUAGAAUUCCAGGUGUAGCGGUGAAAUGCGUAGAGAUCUGGAGGAAUACCGGUGGCGAAGGCGGCCCCCUGGACGAAGACUGACGCUCAGGUGCGAAAGCG
rnacentral:rRNA from 1 species